AGAUGUAUUGAGACGUGGAACAGUUUAAAUGAAGAAGUAGUGUCUGCAACGAGUGUGCAUACUUUUAAAGUAAGAUUGGAUAAGUGUAGAUGUGGAGACGGGGCCACACAAGCAUAAAGCCCGAUGAAAUGAUGAAGUGUAUGAAAGGAAUGACCUAAAAUAGAAAUGAACACCUUCAUUCAAGAAUCUGGAAAAUAACACCCAAGCACAGAGGUGCUUCACCUAGAAUGAUCAAGUUCGCUGCUGCCACUGCAGUUGCAACAUACAAUGCUGGGUAUGAAGGUGGCUUCUUCAGUUUGCUUCUGAACACUGAAUUUACUUCAUCUAUGCAAGCAUAUCUACAAAGAAAGGACAAGGAUACGGACACACCAGUAAGAAGAUGAAGCAGAAGUUUGUUCGCAAGAGCCAGGUAGACUACGCAGCUGGGUUAUUCUGAGGUCUGGCCAACAAGAAACGCUGCUUCUCAAAAUGUAUAAAACCAUGAUCUCAGUAAAAUUUCAUAAUAAUCA